rnacentral:lncRNA from 1 species
CAACUAUAAGCUUUCUAUGGAGUUGCAGCUUUUGAAAUAGAGCAUUAAUUGGAAGCAAUUAUCCAAUUAUACCAGCUGUGACUAUGCUGUAUAUGGAAUAUUUACUAAGAAAAGAAAGCAUUUAGCAGAUGAUUUAAUAUAGCAGCCCGGCAUAAUAAAUCUGCAAGCGACACUACAGUUGCGUAGCUGCUGUCUUCAGUGGCCGACACAGGCGAGAGUACACGGUAUCGUGAACCAAUUGGCAGACACUGUGAAGCAAGCUCCCUGAGGACAGAGCUCACCCUGUGUCCUAUGACGGUGCCUGGCACACAGGAAAUGCACGUGUCUCUUUUCAUGAAGGAAUCCUUCGAUUUAUUAAUGAACUAAAGGCAUUUACUUGGAAGAGAUCCAACAAGAGUGUUAUAUAAUACACUAGAAUUGUCAGAAACCUUCCAGGUCUUCAGGUACAAUGCUCAUUUUGCAGCUGAGGAAACUAAGCUCCAAUAACUGAGGAAUUCCCUCACCUACUUAGCAGUAUAGCUAGUUUUGCCUAUAAUUUAGCCAAUGUGGGGACU